GACGAACGCUGGCGGCGUGCCUAAUACAUGCAAGUAGAACGCACAGUUUAUACCGUAGCUUGCUACACCAUAGACUGUGAGUUGCGAACGGGUGAGUAACGCGUAGGUAACCUGCCUGGUAGCGGGGGAUAACUAUUGGAAACGAUAGCUAAUACCGCAUAAUAUUGAUUAUUGCAUGAUAAUUAAUUGAUAGGUGCAAUUGCACCCCUACUAGAUGGACCUGCGUUGUAUUAGCUAGUAGGUGAGGUAACGGCACACCUAGGCGACGAUACAGAGCCGACCUUGGAGGGUGAUCCGCCACACUUGGACUUAGACACGGCCCCGACCUCUACGGGAAGCAGCAGGAGGGGAUCUUCGGCAAUGGACGAAAGUAUGACCGAGCAACGCCGCCGGGGUGAAGAAGGGUUUCGGAUCGUAAAGCUCUGUUGUAAGAGAAGAACGGGUGUGAGAGUGGAAAGUUCACACUGUGACGUUAUCUUACCAGAAAGCGACGGCUAACUACGUG
rnacentral:rRNA from 1 species